rnacentral:rRNA from 1 species
UUCGCCCUUUUCCGGUUGAUCCCGCCGGAGGCUACCGCUAUCGGGAUUCGAUUAAGCCAUGCGAGUCGAGAGGGUUCGGCCCUCGGCUGACGGCUCAGUAACACGUGGAUAACCUGCCCUCAGGUAGGGGAUAAUCUCGGGAAACUGAGGAUAAUACCCUAUAGACAUCCUUUGCUGGAAUGCUUGGAUGUUCAAAGGCGACGCCUGAGGAUGGGUCUGCGGCCUAUCAGGUAGUAGUGGGUGUAACGGACCCACUAGCCUACGACGGGUACGGGCCUUGAAAGAGGUAGCCCGGAGAUGGACUCUGAGACACGAGUCCAGGCCCUACGGGGCGCAGCAGGCGCGAAAACUUCGCAAUGCGGGAAACCGUGACGAGGGAAUCCCGAGUGCUCAUACAAUGUAUGGGCUUUUAUGAUGUGUAAAAAGCAUUAGGAAUAAGGGCUGGGUAAGACCGGUGCCAGCCGCCGCGGUAAUACCGGCAGCUCUAGUGGUAGCCACUUUUAUUGGGCCUAAAGCGUCCGUAGCCUGUCAAGUAAAUCCUUGGGUAAAUCGUACAGCUUAACUGUGCGGCUUCCGAGGAGACUGCUUGACUUGGGACCGGGAGAGGUUGGAGGUACUCCUGGGGUAGGGGUGAAAUCCUGUAAUCCUAGGUGGACCACCGGUGGCGAAGGCGUCCAACCAGAACGGCUCCGACGGUGAGGGACGAAGGCUAGGGGCGCAAACCGGAUUAGAUACCCGGGUAGUCCUAGCUGUAAACGCUGC